GCUUUACUGUUAUUGCGUUUGCCAUUAGGAAGGAAACACGUUUCUAUAACGGAUGGAAGACAUGUUUGUGAAGUGGUUAUGUGUUUUAGUUUCUUGUCUAAAGGUGGCCCGCGGGACUAAUUGUUCAGAUGGGUGGACGGCAUUUGAAGUAUCCUGUUACCUCUGACGUCACACUCAAGCACAUUUCACGGGAGCUCAGCAUUAUUGUGAGCAGCAUGGCGGAAGCCUGAUUCACGCUGAUUCAGCAAUGGGAAACGAUUUCAUACGGAGCUAUGCUUGCGAUAUAUCUCGAUCAAAUGGGCAUCAUUGGUGAUUGGGACUUACAGACGAACUUGUAGAGGGACAUUGGAGGUGGGUAGAUACAAAUGCUACGUUUCUCGGAUGGGCCCCGGAUGAACCGGAUCCUUCGGAAGAAGAUUGUGCUGUAUUGUCCAGCAUACAGAACUUCCAAUGGGCAGACAUCACAUGUGACAGAGCUGACGUUAUUCCGCUAUGUGAAAUAAGGUUUGUGAACUAUUUAAGGUAAUAAGAUGGUAUAUAAAAUAAUUAAUGUGCAUGUUUUGCCAUUUGCUAUGGCAUGCACGUAAAUACAGGUUGUAUGAGUAGGAUCGAGUUUUAUGUAUUGUCGUGUAUUGCAUAGGCAAUCUCUACCUGUUGUAAAUAACUUGUUCUGUACUUAUAAUGUUUCUUACGGUUACAAGUAAUAUGUAUGGCUGUGUUCUGGAUUCGUUUACAAUUAUAAUUUCGUUCGUACAUCAAUUGAAGUUUAUGCAACAAGCAACGAAUGCGAGGUAAGACAUUUGUUUUAUUUAAACAUUAAUACUCAGAUUAUAACGUUUUCCAUAUUUACUUAUUUCAGUAAGCAAAUGUUAAAUAUUGAACACACUAUGUUUUACUGGUUAUUAAACGAGCUUUGCCUACUUAUUGGCAUGGACAUGAUUAUUUCAUUUUUGAUGUUUGUUGAUUAAUUCCAGAAGAGAAGAAUCAGAUGUCGUUGUUGUUUAAAGAUACCCACAGUAUAAUGAUACACUGCAUGAUGAAAGUUAACUUAAGUGUAUUAUUGAAUAAUACAUUUUGUUACCACCAUU